UACGAAGGGGGCUAGCGUUGCUCGGAAUCACUGGGCGUAAAGGGUGCGUAGGCGGGUCUUUUAAGUCAGGGGUGAAAUCCUGGAGCUCAACUCCAGAACUGCCUUUGAUACUGAAGAUCUUGAGUUCGGGAGAGGUGAGUGGAACUGCGAGUGUAGAGGUGAAAUUCGUAGAUAUUCGCAAGAACACCAGUGGCGAAGGCGGACUCACUGGCCCGAGUACUGACGCUGAGG
rnacentral:rRNA from 1 species